UACGUAGGGGGCUAGCGUUGUCCGGAAUCACUGGGCGUAAAGCGCACGUAGGCGGAUCGAUCAGUCAGGGGUGAAAUCCCAGGGCUCAACCCUGGAACUGCCUUUGAUACUGUCGAUCUGGAGUAUGGAAGAGGUGAGUGGAAUUCCGAGUGUAGAGGUGAAAUUCGUAGAUAUUCGGAGGAACACCAGUGGCGAAGGCGGCUCACUGGUCCAUUACUGACGCUGAGGUGCGAAAGCGUGGGGAGCAAACAGG
rnacentral:rRNA from 1 species